rnacentral:rRNA from 1 species
UUUCCGUAGGGGUGCCUGCGGAGGGAUCAUUACACAAAUAUGAAGGCGGGCUGGAACCUCUCGGGGUUACAGCCUUGCUGAAUUAUUCACCCUUGUCUUUUGCGUACUUCUUGUUUCCUUGGUGGGUUCGCCCACCACUAGGACAAACAUAAACCUUUUGUAAUUGCAAUCAGCGUCAGUAACAAAUUAAUAAUUACAACUUUCAACAACGGAUCUCUUGGUUCUGGCAUCGAUGAAGAACGCAGCGAAAUGCGAUAAGUAGUGUGAAUUGCAGAAUUCAGUGAAUCAUCGAAUCUUUGAACGCACAUUGCGCCCUUUGGUAUUCCAAAGGGCAUGCCUGUUCGAGCGUCAUUUGUACCCUCAAGCUUUGCUUGGUGUUGGGCGUCUUGUCUCUAGCUUUGCUGGAGACUCGCCUUAAAGUAAUUGGCAGCCGGCCUACUGGUUUCGGAGCGCAGCACAAGUCGCACUCUCUAUCAGCAAAGGUCUAGCAUCCAUUAAGCCUUUUUUUCAACUUUUGACCUCGGAUCAGGUAGGGAUACCCGCUGAACUUAAGCAUAUCAAA